UUUCCCUGUCGCAAGAUUGAGCUUUUUCAGCUCCCAAGUAUUCUCAUGACAUUGAUCUGUAUAUACAAGCUAUAGAUCUAAACAGCAGUAAUGGUGCUUAUUGAGCAAACCGUGCGCUCGCUCACACAAAAUUAGAGGAAUAAGGGAGUGCAAUACAGGAUGCAUCAAAGGCCAUCCAAAUCAAUCCAAAAGGUUCAAUCUUGUGAUAAGAUCGUUGCUUCCUCUUCCCACAAAUUCAAGGGGGCCUAGAAGGAUUUCUAACAGGAUUGAUGUAUGACUUGCUGUGAAGUGAUCCUUGACCCCAUCCUGGAAGAGGUCCAAGCAAGCAGGGAGUUGGCCUUUCAUUUGGUGGAGAUGUAACAAAGAGAUUCUUGCAGGACAACAAUCUAGAAUUGGUGGUCCGAUCACAUGAAGUAGAAGAUGAAGGUUAUGAGAUUGAGCAUGAUGGCAAAUUGAUCACUGUCGUCUCUGCACAAAAUUAUUGUGAUCAGCAAGACGGGUAACAAGGGUGCCUUUAUUCGCUUUGAAGCUCCGGAUAUGAAGUCGCCGAACAUUGUUACAUUCUCAGCUGUGAUCUAAAGAUCCCCGGAAAGGAUGAAACAGAAAAACCCAGAUGGAGAAGACAGUGAUAUUUAAUAAUGCACGGCAGAUAAAACUGGCACAUGCUGCUGUUGUUGGAUGGUACAGCCCUUACACCUGUGAAUGUGAUGAACACACACCACAACCAAGAAGCCCCGAGACCUUAUACUAUUGCUUUCCCCCCUUUUCCUUUAGUUUUGUGAGCAGAAAAAUCUCUUUGCAGCAUAAACCCUUGCAUUACAAAGCAUCGGAUUCUUCCUUCAAUGGCUCCUCCUAUGUUCUCUCUGAGUGUUCUUGAAUCUUUUGCUGCUGCUGUUGUUGUUGUUGUCGAGUGGAAACUGCUGUUACAGGAACUUGUAUUAUGCCUUACUGUUAUGGAAUCUCCCGGCUCUUCUUUUUCCUGUGAGAUUCGCAUAUUCUUGCAGUCUUUUACAUGUGGGUUUUUUUUUUCCUGCAUAAAUUAUGUGUUUUGGUUUCAAAUUCUAAAGAUUGUAAUGGUAGUUCUUUCUGGGGCG